rnacentral:rRNA from 1 species
AGAGUUUGAUCCUGGCUCAGAAACGAACGCUGGCGGCGUGGAUAAGACAUGCAAGUCGGACGGGAUUACUUUUGGUAGCAAUACCGAAAGUGAUUCAGUGGCGAACGGGUGCGUAACACGUGGGCAAUCUACCGAGAAGUGGGGGAUAGCUCGCCGAAAGGCGAAUUAAUACCGCAUGUGAUCAGAGGCGACAUCGCUUCGAAAUCAAAGGUGGCGCAAGCUACCGCUUUUUGAGGAGCCCGCGGCCUAUCAGCUUGUUGGUGAGGUAACGGCUCACCAAGGCAUUGACGGGUAGCUGGUCUGAGAGGACGACCAGUCACACUGGGACUGAGACACGGCCCAGACACCUACGGGUGGCAGCAGUCGAGAAUUUUUCUCAAUGGGGGAAACCCUGAAGGAGCGACGCCGCGUGGAGGAUGAAGGUCUUCGGGUUGUAAACUCCUGUCAUUUGGGAACAAGGUGUGCGCGUUAACUGCGCGCGCAUUGAUAGUACCAGAAGAGGAAGAGACGGCUAACUCUGUGCCAGCAGCCGCGGUAAUACAGAGGUCUCAAGCGUUGUUCGGAUUCAUUGGGCGUAAAGGGUGCGUAGGCGGCGCGGUAAGUCGGGUGUGAAAUUUCGAGGCUUAACUUCGAAACUGCAUUCGAUACUGCCGUGCUUGAGGACUGGAGAGGAGACUGGAAUUUACGGUGUAGCGGUGAAAUGCGUAGAUAUCGUAAGGAAGACCAGUGGCGAAGGCGGGUCUCUGGACAGUUCCUGACGCUGAGGCACGAAGGCCAGGGGAGCAAAACGGGAUUAGAUACCCCCGUAGUCC